GUAUUAACUACCCAUAGUAUAAUGAAGUGCAUCACUUUAUUAUUAAAGAUUUAUCACUCGAAGAUGGCUGUGCGGCUGAUUAGGUAGUUGGCGGGUAAAGGCCCACCAAGCCUGCGAUCAGUAACUGGUGUGAGAGCACGACCAGUCACACGGGCACUGAGACACGGCCCGACUCCUACGGGAGGCAGCAGUAAGGAUAUUGGUCAAUGGAGGCAACUCUGAACCAGCCAUGCCGCGUGGAGGAUGAAGGUCCUCUGGAUUGUAAACUUCUUUUAUAUGGGACGAAAAAAGGCUUUUCUAAGUCGUCUGACGGUACCAUAUGAAUAAGCACCGGCUAACUCCGUG
rnacentral:rRNA from 1 species